rnacentral:lncRNA from 1 species
CUUUUACAUUCCAGUUUGAGAUCUUUUAAAAAACAGUGAAGUUUACAUAUAUUCCAUAUCAUCCAAUAUAAAGAUACAAUUGAAUACAAUAAAUGUUCAUAAUCACAUUAAUUGAUUGUAUUUGAAUGUUUUAAAAUAUAUGCAGAGUGUUUUAAAAUAUUCAAAAUAUAUUCACAUUUGUUUUCUGUUUUAACAUUAUAGCAAUCCUGGCCAUGGUGCUUCCCAAAUUUUGUGGACAAUAUAACUGAGACCCAGAGAUUUUCAUCAAAUUGUUAGACAAAGUAAGAUUCAAUCAUAGCCUUCCUGUUUGUUAAAAUGCAUUCUCCACUACCCAUAUCCUUCAUCAUAUUAGAGAAUCAAUAAUUUACUGUUCAUAGUUUCAACUCUCCUCUUUGCUCUAUGUACACACGUUCUCUAAAUCCAUCAAGUAUUUGAUAUCUGUGUUUUCAGAAAUUACAUGUGACCCUUGGUUAGCUUAAUCAAAAUAUUUGCAACUCCGUUUAAGUCUCCCUUGAAUGCACAGUGAGACAAGACAACUUUGAUGCACAGAGUUGUCUUUCUUCGGGAUGACAUUUCUGACAUCAUGUCUGGAAACAAAAGACAUAAUGACUCCAUGAUAUUCCAUCUCAAUCACACAAAAAAACUUAAAAAUUAAAAAAAGAUUUUUAGAAAGAAGAAAUUGCCAUUUUUUUCUGCAGGAAAGGGGAACUGCUUGAAGAAUUUGAAUGAUGUAAGUUUGUCUGAAAGCUUUAAAGAUGAAAGGUAUCACUUUUUACCCAUUAGCAUUAUAGGAUGAUGAGAUCCUGAAUGUGCCUUGCCACUUCAAAGGGUCACUGGACUACAGCUUUCAGAAAAGACUGCCUGCAAGAUUGUGAAGGAGGUUCAAUUCCCUUCAGGUUCUUCUUUCAGUGCACUUGAACAUGGCUACAACUUUUAGAAUUCGCCAAAGUUUUUAAUGUAACUUCUAAAUCUUUCUAUUUCUGGGUCCCCCUUGUAAAUUUCCAUAUAGAACCUCAGAUUUCUUUUGUCCUUCUUCAGGCCUACAUUGAAUUUCUAGGACUUAGACCAGGGUUCUAGCCUCUUGCUUAAAUAUUUAUGCUUAUCACUUCAGUGAACAGAAGGUACAGGUGCAGUUCGGGUUCAAAUUCUGGAAACCCAUCAUGCCUUGCCUAAGAGGUAUCUUGCUGCUAAGACAACUGCCCAGAGAAAUCAGAUGUGUGUCCUGGAGAAACAUGAGGAAUACCAAUUUGACUCAGGGGAGAUCAGAGUUGGGUGAACCUUACUCCAGUUCCUGGUAGAGAGUUUUCCAUAUUAACAACCAUCAGCAGUGGGUUGGACACCAUUCUAAACUCCUCUUGUCUGCUUCUGAAGCAGCUUGCUCUCUCUCUGAAGCACAAUAGGAGCCAUUCGGCCUGGCUAGUCUCUCAGGGGGGUCAACUUUACAUUUCCCAACUCUGUGGAAUUCCUUUGAGAAGUGGCUCACCACCAAGAACCACCUUUUCCCAUGGGACUGAGAUAACACUGCUUGUCCACUCUUUCCCAUGACUCCCAUAAGACAUGGGUGACCCCCUGGUUGAUGAUGAGGCCAAACACAGACCUUCCUUUUUCCUGUACCAGCUGAAAAGGUCAGACACAGACCCUCCACUUUGUUGUUCUUUAUCUCAUAAAUGAUUAGCCUAAGACUAGAACUGUCCCUCCCCCUGAAACUGGCUAGACACAGAGAUAAACAUUUCCUGUUCAGCUAAGUGACUGGGACUCCACCUAAUUGUACAAUAGCCCCAACUGUAAAUCAUGCUGUGUUCCUCCCUGUGACAGUCCAGGGCAAAACCACUGUGCUAAGACAUUCUGAUUUUCAGAUCUAGUGUGCUUUCCUUAUUGUAAUAGCCUGAAUAAAAUCAAUUUCCUUACUGGUUCUCCUUUUGUCUUUGGCAUCAGUAAUGCUGAACAAAACUAUGACACUUAAGAAACUACUCAGACAAUCCUGAACAAUACUCUGAAGGCAGUUGAGAAGUUCACAACCAGCUAGUCCUUGUAUAAUCUUUUUUCCUUUACUAUCUGCAUUCAGUUUAAGCACUGCCCACUGGCAAAGUUACAUAGACACAUAAAUACACAUUGGUACUUUUAUUCAUUUUUGUUUAAAACAGGGAAUCACCUUCCACCAAAUCAUAAAAUUCUCAAGAGCAAGAUAAAGAACACGUUUUCUAAGUCUCCAAAACCCAUUGGAGUAUCUUUCUCACAAGGGAUGGGCAUUGUUAGCCUGCUGGGUUUCAGUUGAUAAUUUUGUCUAAAUAAACUAGGUGGUGUUUUCGUUUUUUCUUUCUCAAUUUAGAGUACUGAGCAAGUUUUGUCCUCUCAGAAUGCCCUUCUUGGAGAUAACAGAUGGGCCAAAUCUGCUAUGAGAUAUCAACAUGUAUUCCUCUGUAAUUCUGUGGGCUUUGUUGUUGUUGGUGGUGGUGGUGGGGUAGCACACAGGGGAGGGAAUGAAGAUGCAUUCAUCACCUGGGGCUAUGAAGUCCAUGCCUCUCCACAGUGCCCCUUCCCUGGCCCUGAAGCUCACAUACACUGCCAAGAUCCAGCUUGUUAACAGAAAUAACACAGCACCAAACUCCUGUGAAUAUCUCCUGCAAAACUUGUUGGAAAAGGCAGGCUCUAAGAUAACGUUCCACGCUGGCAAUUUGGAUUUUCAUUACAAUACCUGUUACUACCUCUGACCUGUCUACUAUAUGCCAACCACAGCACUGAGCACAUCAUAAGUGACACUUUUCAACCACACAACAACUUGCUGAAAGUCAGGUUCAAGUCUGUCUGAAUCCAAAGCCUCUGCUCUUUCUUUACUGAUGAUUGAUCUAUUAUCAAGAAUACAUUUCUUUACCUGAUAUGAGGGAGAGAUUGUGGGCCACCUGAAAACCUUCACAGACUACUAAUAAUCCUCAGAAAGAUUGGGAAGUGGGCGAGGAAAUUCUAAACUCAUACUUGUAUCUUAAUAUUCUAUGAGAUAAACAAGUUAGGGCCAUGUUGAGCAGGUCAGCUAUUGUAAGCAAAGGUCUCAGAUGUGGCACCAAGGCUAUCUGUCCUCGGAUUUCUCUGAACAGCUUAGCAGGGAGUCUCCAUGGUGUAGGCAUAAAAUGAACCAGUGAAGAAAUGUAGAAAAGUAUUUGUUUGUUUUCUCCCAUAGUGUGUUACGAAGGUUUUAGCCCAAAAUCUAAGGAAGCAGAAUGAAGAUUUCUAGAAAACGCAGGUGAGAUGAAGCCAAAGUGUUAUUUAUACAAACAUGAAAUCACAUCAGCUCGUUCUGAAUGCAGCGUAAUAAGCUGCCUUUCUUAGGAAUAAUGAAGCUUGAAACAAAGAUGUUUUUCCUCACUUAUAGGAAUUUCAGACAGCUGGCAUCACAUCCCUUCUAUACUAGAAGUUCCUUUACACUGACCCGAUCCAGGAGUGGUGAGAAGCAUGUAAAUUGUCAAAUGAAAUCCUGCUUGUGGUUUGGAAGGAGGAGAAAAUCCCACCGCCUUUGUUUCUAACCCUGCUGAGAAGCCGUUUUUUAAAAACCCUUUCCAAAGCACUGGGUUCUCUGAGGGUGCUUGAUCAGUGAAUUGUCAAGGUAAAUUUCCAUCUACCAGUUCUCCAGUUUUAGAUCCAAUCAGAUGAUUCCAAAAGAAUAGAAUUGCACAGUGAAGCAAUCUAAGAAAAAUAUAUCUACCAAUGUUGGGGGAAGAUGCCAGGCAUGA